GUUCUGUGUUGCCAGCAUGCCCUUCGGGGUGAUGGGGACUCACAGGAGACUGCCGGGGUCAACUCGGAGGAAGGUGGGGACGACGUCAAGUCAUCAUGCCCCUUAUGUCUUGGGCUGCACACGUGCUACAAUGGCCGGUACAAUGAGCUGCGAUGCCGUGAGGCGGAGCGAAUCUCAAAAAGCCGGUCUCAGUUCGGAUUGGGGUCUGCAACUCGACCCCAUGAAGUCGGAGUUGCUAGUAAUCGCAGAUCAGCAUUGCUGCGGUGAAUACGUUCCCGGGCCUUGUACACACCGCCCGUCACGUCACGAAAGUCGGUAACACCCGAAGCCGGUGGCCCAACCCCUCACGGGGAGGGAGCUGUCGAAGGUGGGACUGGCGAUUGGGACGAAGUCGUAAACAAGGUAGCCGUACCGGAAGGUGCGGCUGGAUCACCUCCUUUCU
rnacentral:rRNA from 1 species